rnacentral:rRNA from 1 species
UGGGCUCGAAAUGUACAUGAAUCCGGCAGAAACGUCGGCGUCUAGCAAUAGACAUGUAUAU